CAGGAGAAGGCAGCGAAAGAUAAAGGACUGGGACAAGCAUCAUGCAUCGUAUGUUACCUGUUUCCAUCUUAGUGUGGAGCAAGCUCGUAACAGUGCACGUGCCCAGCUUCGUGAGCAUAGCUCACUUGCUUUCGAUAACUACCUACGAUGGUUUCUUGAAAAUGCUCGAGUUGAGAUAUGCCCGCCGGCAUACAACGAUGAUAUUCUUGAAGAUCCUGCAAACUUUGAGGAUCUAUCGAAGCAUCAGUACAACAAAACUGUCAGGGAAGGGGUAAAGUGUUCCCUUCUUUACUUUCCUGUUGGCCGUAUUACACAUGUUUGAAUGGCUAGCGUGUUACUUCGUUCUCAUCCGCAGCACAACCAGACCAAGAAAGGAGCUGAUGAAAGCUAGUCUAUUCUGGAGAAGACACCGGUUGGAGAAGGCAAUGAAGAUGGUUCACUACGAGCAUUCCUCAAGCGUCAUGCCAAGAAGUUAAGGCGGUUAUCGAACCUUCUCGGUUGCUGUGACCCAGAAUAUGAUGAACCAUCUGCCUCUAGGCCCGGUACACCAUCAGACCCCUUAUCUCACCAUCAGGGGGACGCUGCGAGGUCCUCAUUUGCUUAUAUGAAUGAUGAGGGUGCGGUCACCCAAGAGGUUGAUGAUGACAUGACUUUGGCAGACGCUCAAGUUUGGUCCGCAUACAUGUUGAAGCCUAGGCAUCCCAUAAAACGGUACACGCACAUUGACUUUGACAACAUAGGCAACCCAAAAGGUGGUCACAGGGAGCUCGCGUAUGGCGAGCUUGGAUGAUGAGGCGGAGGAGGAAGAGGAGGAAGAGGAGGCUCGUCCUGCUAGGAGGAAGAAGAUAACCAAUAGGGAUGGCACUAGGAACACGCGCG